UACUUUAGGGUAACUUGGACAUUAAAAUAAAAUUCAGUCUUAAUAUUGUAGGAAAACCUAAACAAUUACAUUCUCCUUAACCUUUUGGCUUUUACAAAUGGAAGAAAAUGUUUUUAUUCUGACUCAGUAGCCUCCAUCCAAGACCAUUAAGAGAACGGGGAGAAAUGUUAAAAUGAGUGAUUAGCCAGGUUUUUAUUAAUAGUGCUUUGUUGGCUCUCAAAUUGUUUUCCUCUUGAUCAGUUAGCAAGAGUCAAAGUAAAUGGUUCCAAGAAACACUGAAUUUGUUCAUGUUUGUCAGCGGCCCAAACAGCCAAAGUCUUUUAAUUCCUCCAGUUUGGGAAUUGCUGUACCUAAGUGCCUAGUUAUUUCUCAUUUCUUAGUUAAGUCUUAACUAAGGAUUUUUUUUUUUUUUUGCAUCAGUGUUAGUCUAAAUUUUUAUCACCUUCAAUGUAUAUCACUAAUUUAAUUUUUUUUUAGAAUUUUAGGGUUUUUUUUAAGAUUUAUUUAUUAUAUGUAAGUACACUGUAGCUGUCUUCAGACACUCCAAAAGAAGGAGUCAGAUCUCGUUACGGAUGGUUGUGAGCUACCAUGUGGUUGCUGGGAUUUGAACUCCGGACCUUUGGAAGAGCAGUCGGGUGCUCUUACCCACUGAGCCAUCUCACCAGCCCCGUGCCAAGUAUUUCUUGAGCAGCAUGUUGUUAACUAUUCCUCCCAUGAGCUGAACAAAGACCCAGCCAUGCCUGGUGGCGCACACCUUUGAUCCCAGUGCUCAGGAGGCAGAGACAGGUAGAUCUGAGUUCAAGGCCAGUGUGGUCUACAAGUGAGCUCCAAGACAGCCAGGACUAGCUAUACAGAGAUCCUUGU
ensembl:lincRNA Gm27010 predicted gene, 27010